UUGUGAGGAAGCCUAGGCCCCAGGGAGGGGCCACAUAGAUGUAUUCCAGGCAGCAGCCCCAGCAAAGGUCUCAAUCAACCACCAGUGUGUGAGUGAAGACACCUUCAGAUAAUUUUGCUUCCCAGACAUCAAGUCUUCCAGCUGGGUCCAAGACAUCACAAGGCAGAGACAAGCCCUCCCCUCUGUGCACUGUUGGAAUUCCCCACCCACAGAAACUGUGAGCGUAAAAAAAAGUGAAAGCGGUGUAAAUUGCUCUUAUCUGAACCACAAUGAAUUCACAUAUUCAAGUUGGCUUCUUGGGAAAUUUCAGGCCACAAAUGGCAGUGAUGCGAUCAGGAGCAGCAACACAUGCCACUUCCAUCCAGACAGAAGGACCCCAGGUCAAGGCCUGACAGGAGGAGCAGGAGCCAUCAAUGAGAGCAGACCUCAGAAGGCUGACGGAGGGGAGAGGAGCACCAUCCACAGCCCCAUCCUCUGGAUGCUGUGGGAAGAAGUCCACAAAAUACUGCCCCUCGGAGUGAGUCGAUAGCAGAGCGCUUGCUGCUGGCUGCAAAUACCCCAUCAGAACAUGUUUGGAGUGAUUCUUGGACCUGGUUUCAAUUUCUUUUCUGCCAGUCAGCAGUUGUGCUUGACUCACAAUUUGUUGCCAUCUCCUAAAUUAAACUCAGGAAACAGGAUAAAGAUCAGAACCACAUUG